GGAAGGUUGACCGAGUUGGUAAGGUGCCGCACUGCUAAUGCGAGGUCAUCCUUAAUUGGAUGCAAGGGUUCGAUUCCCUUACCUUCCG
rnacentral:tRNA from 2 species